rnacentral:rRNA from 1 species
GACGGAGGAUGCAAGUGUUAUCCGGAAUCACUGGGCGUAAAGCGUCUGUAGGUGGUUUAAAAAGUCUACUGUUAAAGCUUGAAGCUUAACUUCAAAAAUGCCGUAGAAACUUUUAAACUUGAGUAUGGUAGGGGUAGAGGGAAUUUCCAGUGGAGCGGUGAAAUGCGUAGAUCUUGGAAAGACCACCAAUGGCGAAGGCACUCUACUGGGCUAUUACUAACACUCAGAGACGAAAGCUAGGGUAGCAAAUGGG